rnacentral:rRNA from 1 species
AUUGAACGCUGGCGGCAGGCCUAACACAUGCAAGUCGAGCGGAUGAGAAGAGCUUGCUCUUCGGUUCAGCGGCGGACGGGUGAGUAAUGCCUAGGAAUCUGCCUGGUAGUGGGGGACAACGUUUCGAAAGGAACGCUAAUACCGCAUACGUCCUACGGGAGAAAGCAGGGGACCUUCGGGCCUCGCGCUAUCAGAUGAGCCUAGGUCGGAUUAGCUAGUUGGUGGGGUAAUGGCUCACCAAGGCGACGAUCCGUAACUGGUCUGAGAGGAUGAUCAGUCACACUGGAACUGAGACACGGUCCAGACUCCUACGGGAGGCAGCAGUGGGGAAUAUUGGACAAUGGGCGAAAGCCUGAUCCAGCCAUGCCGCGUGUGUGAAGAAGGUCUUCGGAUUGUAAAGCACUUUAAGUUGGGAGGAAGGGCAGUAAGCUAAUACCUUGCUGUUUUGACGUUACCGACAGAAUAAGCACCGGCUAACUCUGUGCCAGCCGCCGCAGUAAAAC